CUGUGGGUUUUUGUGUUUAUUCGAGUGAAUGUUUUUCUGUGUGUGUGUGUGUGUGUGUGUGUGUGUGUGAAAGCAAGAGAGAGCAAGAGGAAUGGCUUCCACAUCUGUGGGGCUGCAUAUUGCUUUUAAAAGAAAGCUUCAUUUAGCUUGACAGGGAAAACGUGUGUGUGUGUGUGUUUGUGUGUCUGUGUGUGCAUGUGCGUGUGUGUGUGAGGGGAAAAUAUGUAGAAACGGCCCAACCACAGACUUCCUUUUGAGAGAGAACCAUGUCAACCCCCACAUCCAUUUACUAAGACACACACGUGAAGACGGGAGAACUCACACACUGCAGUGAAUAUGAAAAACAAGCAGAGUGAAAUCCAGUGGAAAUGCGAAGCACAUUCAGUGAAGCGUUGCCUUACUCUUGGUCUCAGAGACUAUGUAUGUACUGCUUUAACUGCUUAGAUUGAUGACGGACACGAAGAGGUCACUCAGUGAUUGGAUGGCUGGUGAAAUAUCCUGACUGACAUGUUGUGACCUUCACAGAAAAAACAGAGCCGAGCAAAGACGUAUCACAUGCUAACACGUCCACCGAGCCGCCGGUUAUUCAACUGAAGAGAAGCUGCAGGACAUCAGAGGAGGUCCAAAGCCAGAAACCCUGGAGAUGAAGGUUAUGUCCCGUGUCAUGUGACCUGAAGAAAGUCUGCUUUACUCAGCUACUGUAGCAGGAAUCAAAUCAUUUGUCUUGUGUUUUUUGUAUCUCGCUAUUCUCAUUACAUUAU